rnacentral:rRNA from 1 species
UACAGAGGGUGCAAGCGUUAAUCGGAAUUACUGGGCGUAAAGCGUGCGCAGACGGUUGCGUAAGUCAGAUGUGAAAGCCCGGGGCUCAACCCCGGGAGGCGGGUGGAUACUGGUCAGCUCGAGUCCGGAAGAGGAGUGUGGAAUUCCUGGUGUAGCGGUGAAAUGCGCAGAUAUCAGGAGGAACACCAAUGGCGAAGGCAGCACUCUGGGACGGUACUGACGCUGAGACGCGAAAGCGUGGGGAGCAAACAGG